UAGAGCCUUGGGCAACAUGGUCUAGUGUGAGGCAUCCCUAGCUGUGGCAGGGGAGUUGGAACUAGGUUACCUUAAGGUCCUUUCCAACCCUACCUAUUCUAGGAUUCAACACGUUUGUGUAUGUAAUGUAAGCACUUUCUAUCUUGGUAAGGCAUGGUGCUUUGCUACUUCUAGGUGUUAAAUGUCAAAUGGUAAUCUUCAUUUUGGAGAUAACUUUAUUCCAGUGGAGAAAUAACAUUACUUAUCUAAGACCAGAAAACGAGCUGGCUUGAAAACCAGGUUCAGGAAGAAAUUAAAAAAAAAAAAAAAGAAAAAAAAAGGAAAAAACCAACCCAGAAAGUCAAUAGUGCUUAUAGCGAAACCAUGACAGUAAUACUGGGUAUUCUUUGUCACAUUGCAGCAUAAAAAUUGCACAUAAUUCUACCAAAAAGAGCCUGGAUAACAAUUGUCUGAAGGCUUAGUCAACUACAACUGUAUCUUACACUUGAGGAGCUUGUGACAAGUAAACAGAAGCACCUCUGGUUGCCUCCUACACAACAUCUGAUAUCAACAAAUAGACUGCUCCAUUUAGGUAGCAAAUGAGAGACUAAAGCUCAAGCAAUUAAGACAACAGCUAACUAAGUGUGUCAGGUUUCAUGGACAACCCAGAAGAAGUUCUCAUACACCUCUGGAAGCUAUCUUCUCUUUGAAAAUCACACUGUGUUGUGGACAGAUGACUGAAAUUCACAACUGCUAUAAAGCAUGGAGAUGGACAUGAAAAUCAUUCUUCUAGUCCAGAGCAUCACCAAAACCAAAGACCUGUUUGCUGCCUCUACAUUCUCAUGAGAUCACAAUAGCAGGCUGCAACCUCCUUGUUCAAGCUGACAGUGACGGACAUGGCAGCAAUAGCGUCAUUCAGGAAUUCUGCUAAAAGUAAAGGGAAGGGAAGGGAAGAAUGGGCAUUUUUACAAAGUUUCAAAUCAAGCUGAUACAAAUCAAGUGAAUUGGUGCUUCAUUCU